rnacentral:misc_RNA from 1 species
GAAAUGCGAUAAGUAGUGUGAAUUGCAGAAUUUAGCAAAUCAUCGAAUCUUUGAACGCACAUUGCGCCCCUUGGUAUUCCAUGGGGCAUGCCUGUUCGAGCGUCAUUUCAACCCUCAAGCACUGCUUGGUGUUGGGCGUUUGUCCCGCCUACGCGCGUGGACUCGCCUCAAAGUCAUUGGCAGCUGUUCCCCUUCGGCUCGUAAGCGCAGCACAGUCGGCGCCCGGAGCUCUGGUGGGAUGGCGUCCAGCAAGCUAUAUUUUCAGGCUUGACCUCGGAUCAGGUAGGGAUACCCGCUGAACUUAAGC